rnacentral:rRNA from 1 species
AUACGGAGGAUGCGAGCGUUAUCCGGAUUUAUUGGGUUUAAAGGGAGCGUAGGCGGGAGCUUAAGUCAGCGGUUAAAUGGUGCGGCUCAACCGUGCCCUGCCGUUGAAACUGGGUUUCUUGAGAGUGCAAGAGGCGGAUGGAAUUCAUGGUGUAGCGGUGGAAUGCUUAGAUAUCAUGAAGAACUCCGAUUGCGAAGGCAGUCCGCUGGGGCACGUCUGACGCUGAUGCUCGAAGGUGCGGGAAUCAAACAGGAUUAGAUACCCUGGUAGUCCGCACGGUAAACGAUGAUUACCCGCUGUCGGCGGCAGACAGUCGGCGGCCAAGCGAAAGCGAUAAGUAAUCCACCUGGGGAGUACGCCGGCAACGGUGAAACUCAAAGGAAUUGACGGGG